GUUUUACUUGUGACAUUGAAUUUUUUUACUUUAUGUCAUAGUGAUUUGGUUUUUAACCACUGGAUUGUUCUAUUUAAGUUGAUAAAACAAGUACAACUGCACAGAAUCAAUCUUUACAAGGUGAAUGUCACAACGUGAUUUGGUGUUCUGAUCUCAAGAUGAAGUUACCUCUCCCCCUCCUAGUGAAAUUGAGUGUCAUGAGUAGCGGCCAACAGAAGAGCUUCUAGGUUUAGGGCCAUCCUGUUAGA
rnacentral:misc_RNA from 1 species